CGUCCUUUCGGGCCUCGUCGCUUUUUUUGGCAGGCGGCCGGUGACGUCACGACCCCGAUCGGACCGGAACCGGAACCGGAGCCGAGGGAAAGCGGUCGUCGUCGCCAGCUCGAUGGAAGAUUCGACGUGAGACGGACCGCCGCUACCGGUGCGCCUCAGAUUUUGGCAGUCCGGGGAAGCCCGAGACGACGGCGGCGGCGGCGGCGGCGGCAUUGGGACGCAGGACGACGAGCAGCCCGCUGCAGCAAAAUGGCAAUCUCCCAAUUUGCAGUCUGCCUCGAAAGCCGCAAGCUGCAGCGACGCGGAGAAAGCUGAAGACUCCCCGCGCCCAAGAAUCGCUCUCGCUUUUCAGGUCCCGCCGAGCGGACGGGGGGCCAAGGACACAGCCGCUCAUCCCGGAGCGGGAUGGAGCCCCCGACCCCCGUGCGCGGCUUCACCGUCUUCUUGCUGCGCAACGUGAUGCUGCUUUCCGUGACGGCGGCCGCUCGGCCCGUCGCAGGUUUGUAG